rnacentral:snRNA from 1 species
GGAUGUAAGGGUGAUAUGGCUGCGACAUCUGUCACUCUGUUGAUCACCAGGGUUGAUUUGGCUGAUUUGGCUGGCUAGCCGGGUGCUCUCUUCCUCCCUCACUGCUCCAUGUGCAUCCCUCCUGAAGCUGUGCUCAGUCAAACAGGACAACCACCACCCACAGAGGAGAACUGUUUCCUGGGUCAAGGGUAUAUGAGUAGCUGCGCUCCCUUGCUAGAAUCUUCAAACAAGCUCUCAAGGAUGGUACAUUAUUGGUCCUUAGGGUCUAUUAAUAUUUGGUUUGUCUUUGACACUAUGAUUGAUGCUAAUUUCAUUACUAU